rnacentral:rRNA from 1 species
AUUGAACGCUGGCGGCAUGCCUUACACAUGCAAGUCGAACGGCAGCACGGGGGCGAACCCUCGGUGGCGAGUGGCGAACGGGUGAGUAAUGCAUCGGAACGUGCCCAGUAGUGGGGGAGUAACUAGUCGAAAGAUUAGCUAAUACCGCAUACGACCUACGGGUGAAAGCGGGGGAGUUCGCAAGAACCUCGCGCUAUCGGAGCGGCCGAUGUCUGAUUAGCUAGUUGGCGGGGAAAAGCCCACCAAGGCUUCGAUCAGUAGCUGGUCUGAGAGGACGACCAGCCACACUGGGACUGAGACACGGCCCAGACUCCUACGGGAGGCAGCAGUGGGGAAUUUUGGACAAUGGGCGCAAGCCUGAUCCAGCCAUGCCGCGUG